AGGAGCGCUAAAAGGAUGGGAUCUCCUGUUGUCCCCACAGCACAGCAGGGUGGGCCUGGUCAACACCAGUCAGCCCCGCUGCGGGAGGGAACUGGAACGUGUAAAUGGACAACGUGACUGCUCCACGGCGUGGGACUGGGGUGAGCGGUUAGUAUCCUGGAACAGUACCACGGCCCCUAGAGGCGCUUCCCAGACACACAGUGGAUCCCCCUCUUUGGUGUUGAGAGGAGAGACCGUGAUCAUCUGCUCUGCUCCUUUGGCCCAGCGGUCACCUCCCUUCAGCCUCUGCCUCUGGCCUUCUUACCCCAUUUGCCACUAUCUCGAACAAGUGCACGGAAUCCUGGUCCAAAUCCUUCUCAGAGACGGUCUCCUGGGGGAAAGAAGCCAGGAGGGAGGGAGCCAGUCUUAAAAACAUCCAUCAUGCCCCAAGAACCUCCAAGUUUUCUAUUACCUCUUCUAGAUGCUCAGCCCAGUUGACUUCAUCCAGCAACCUGGGCAUAAGAGAGUGAAGGUUUAGGGAUAACUAGGGGCCAGAGAGAUGAGGUUCUCCAUGGGGUGAUCUUGGAAAGGUCCUGUCAUUGUAUAUGGGACAGUAUAGAACAAUCCAUCGAAUCUCAGCUCUAGUUUUACUGUUUCUAUUACCAGCUUAGACCUCAUGCCUCAGUUUCCAUGAGCAUAAAUUAGGACUGACGUGGGGGAGGGCCAGAGUCCGACCUCCUGUAGCUCUUGGGCAGGGAACCUUGCUGCGGUGAGGUUGGCCCCUCACCAGGUCUCACUGUGUUUCUCCGUGAAGAUCCGAAGCAAGAAGUCAGCAUCUUUAUGGGGUUCAAAGGUGGAGGGGAUAAUGAUGUAUUCCCCUGGAGGCAGCCGAAGAUGGCUGUUCACUUCCCGUGAGUUGGUGAAGAUCUCUGAAAAGCCAUGGUCCCGAUAUUUCGUAAAGAACUCUUUCUUCAGAUGGAUGUCCUGGAGGUUCUGAAACUGUAUGUACCCUGGAGGUGGGUACAGGACUAGCCCAGGAGAGCCAGGAGAGUGGAUCUCCUAGGGGACCUGAAAAGAAAAGAGAGAAGAGAUUCAGAUCUUCAGGGCAGUGAAGGGGCUCUGACCUUCAACUGGGUGAGUGUGUACCGUGCGUGUGAGCACAAGGGUGAGCCUGGGUCGGGGCAUUGGUACAACGGGGUGGGUAGGGUGUAGGCUGUUGGCAUUAAGAAUUUGUUUUCAAUAUCAAAGUCCAGUUUGCACAAAGUUUGCAAAGGCCGCUUUUUGUCGCUCGGGGUUAAGGACAGGAGACUGAGUUCUGGAGAGACAGGGAUGAUUUGCUGGAAGGGAAAGAGAACUGGAUGCCACCCAAGAGUGUGCUCCUAGCGUGCUCCCCUGCAAGGUAACCUGCAGCACUAGACAGGUGGCCAUGGAAACGGGGGAUGGACAGCAAAUGCGUUUCACGUUCGCCUUUCCCCCUCCCUGGCAGCCCAGGCUUUGAUUUUGCCAUGUAGUUGAGGAUGGUCUUGAACUUUUCAUCCUCCGGCAUCCACCUCCCAAAUGCUGGGAUAACGGACACGUGCCACUGUGCCCAGUUUUAUGCGUUUCUGGGCAUAGAGCCCAGGGCUUCUUGUUUUGUUUUGAUCUCUGGAGACAGGGUAUCGUGUAGGCCAGGCUGGCCUCUAACUAUGUAGCUGAAGCUGGCUUUGAACUCCUGAUCCUCCUGGCUUCUGCAGGCACCUUCAUUUGUGUGCACAUUGCCACACAGAGACACACACAUAAUUAAAAGUUAAAAACCUUGCAUGUGUGGUGGAGCAUACCUUUGAUCCCUUCAUAUGAGAGGUCCAGGCAGGAGGAUCUCUGUGAGUUUGAGGCCAUCUAGGUCUACAUAGACAGUUCCAGGCCAUCUAGGGCUACAUAAAGAGACUGUCUCAAAAAAAAUUUUUUAAAUAAAAAAAAUAGUAU